GAUGAACGCUGGCGGCGUGCCUAAUACAUGCAAGUCGAGCGAACGGACGAGAAGCUUGCUUUUCUGAUGUUAGCGGCGGACGGGUGAGUAACACGUGGAUAACCUACCUAUAAGACUGGGAUAACUUCGGGAAACCGGAGCUAAUACCGGAUAAUAUUUUGAACCGCAUGGUUCAAAAGUGAAAGACGGUCUUGCUGUCACUUAUAGAUGGAUCCGCGCUGCAUUAGCUAGUUGGUAAGGUAACGGCUUACCAAGGCAACGAUGCAUAGCCGACCUGAGAGGGUGAUCGGCCACACUGGAACUGAGACACGGUCCAGACUCCUACGGGAGGCAGCAGUAGGGAAUCUUCCGCAAUGGGCGAAAGCCUGACGAAGCAACGCCGCGUGAGUGAUGAAGGUCUUCGGAUCGUAAAACUCUGUUAUUAGGGAAGAACAUAUGUGUAAGUAACUGUACACAUCUUGACGGUACCUAAUCAGAAAGCCACGGCUAACUACGUG
rnacentral:rRNA from 1 species